GGGCGUGUAGCGCAGGGGUAGCGCGCUUCCCUUGCAUAGUUCGUGUUAGGAAGAGGUCACCGGUUCGAAUCCGGUCUCGUCCA
rfam:Lachancea thermotolerans CBS 6340 chromosome E complete sequence.